UUUUUUUUUUUUAUCAGCAACAAUAUUUGAUCAUCAGGACCGAAACUAUUUACCGGUGCAUUAAAAACACACACGUUUUUACCGCUCAUAUUAUAACAAAAUACGAGUAUUGAAUAAUUACCAACUAAUAUAUAAUUAAUUAUUAAAUAACAGUUACUCGAAUGAAGUUGUUAGCAAUAUAAUUAUUAUCUAAGGAUGCACAGUAUAGGGGCUGUGUUAAAGUUACUCU